AAAUGAAGAUGAAUGCUCACGCACACGCAAGCAGUGCAGCCCGGAUGGCCUCGGGCAUGACCUCGCGUGCUCGUCGACCGGAAACCUGCUUCUAGCUGGGUCACCGGACGUAUUCGCUGUUUU
rnacentral:sRNA from 1 species